GACGAACGCUGGCGGCGUGCCUAAUACAUGCAAGUAGAACGCACAGUUUAUACCGUAGCUUGCUACACCAUAGACUGUGAGUUGCGAACGGGUGAGUAACGCGUAGGUAACCUGCCUGGUAGCGGGGGAUAACUAUUGGAAACGAUAGCUAAUACCGCAUAAUAUUGAUUAUUGCAUGAUAAUUAAUUGAAAGGUGCAAUUGCACCACUACCAGAUGGACCUGCGUUGUAUUAGCUAGUAGGUGAGGUAACGGCUCACCUAGGCGACGAUACAUAGCCGACCUGGGAGGGUGAUCGGCCACACUGGGACUGAGACACGGCCCAGACUCCUACGGGAGGCAGCAGUAGGGAAUCGUCGGCAAUGGACGAAAGUCUGACCGAGCAACGCCGCGUGAGUGAAGAAGGUGUUCGGAUCGUAAAGCUCUGUUGUAAGAGAAGAACGGGUGUGAGAGUGGAAAGUUCACACUGUGACGGUAUCUUACCAGAAAGGGACGGCUAACUACGUG
rnacentral:rRNA from 1 species